rnacentral:rRNA from 1 species
GACGAACGCUGGCGGCGUGCUUAACACAUGCAAGUCGAACGGAAAGGCCCUGCUUUUGUGGGGUGCUCGAGUGGCGAACGGGUGAGUAACACGUGAGUAACCUGCCCUUGACUUUGGGAUAACUUCAGGAAACUGGGGCUACUACCGGAUAGGAGCUCCUGCUGCAUGGUGGGGGUUGGAAAGUUUCGGCGGUUGGGGAUGGACUCGCGGCUUAUCAGCUUGUUGGUGGGGUAGUGGCUUACCAAGGCUUUGACGGGUCGCCGGCCUGAGAGGGUGACCGGCCACAUUGGGACUGAGAUACGGCCCAGACUCGUACGGGAGGCAGCAGUGGGGAAUAUUGCACAAUGGGCGGAAGCCUGAUGCAGCAACGCCGCGUGCGGGAUGACGGCCUUCGGGUUGUAAACCGCUUUCGCCUGUGACGAAGCGUGAGUGACGGUAAUGGGUAAAGAAGCACCGGCUAACUACGUG